rnacentral:misc_RNA from 1 species
UCUCUGUAGGUGAACCUGCGGAGGGCUCAUUACUGAGUGAGGUCCGCCGGCCCGACCUCCAACCCUUUGUGUAUCUCGACCCUGUUGCCUCGGGGGCGACCCGGCCUUCGGGCGUCGGGGCCCCCGGUGGACCACCAAACCCUGCAUCGUUGCGUCUGAGUCGAAAUAUAAAUCAAUCAAAACUUUCAACAACGGAUCUCUUGGUUCUGGCAUCGAUGAAGAACGCAGC